rnacentral:rRNA from 1 species
GACGAACCGUGCGAACGUUAUUCGGAAUCACUGGGCUUAAAGCGCGUGUAGGCGGGCCGCCACGUCGGCUGCUGAAAUCCCCCGGCUCAACCGGGGAACGGGCACCGAUACGGGCGGCCUGGAGGGGGGUAGGGGGGUCUGGAACUUCCGGUGGAGCGGUGAAAUGCGUUGAGAUCGGAAGGAACGCCCGUGGCGAAAGCGAGGCCCUGGACCCUUACUGACGCUGAGACGCGAAAGCCAGGGGAGCGAACGGG